rnacentral:lncRNA from 1 species
GUUCAUGGAAGCUAUUGGAUAAUGGAGACUUUGGGUUAGCUACUUGGGAACACCAAAGUCUAAGCCCAUUACUUAGAGUUCUCCAAUGUGGAUGAGCAAAUAAGAGAUUUUUCAAGCACUUCUCUUUAUCCAUAGGAAAUAGUCAUUUUUCAAAUGACUAGCUUUACCCGUUGGAAACAAGCCUUUUUCAGCACUUCCUAUUACCCACUGGAAACAAGCAGUCUCUAGCGCUUCCUUUUACCAAUAGGAAAUAAUCAGUUUAUGGUACCUAGCUUCACUUGC